rnacentral:lncRNA from 1 species
AUAAACAAUCUUGGCAAUGGUAGUUUUACCAAUUCCACCAAUUCCAUAUAUCCCAACCACACGAAUGUCAUUCAAGUCACUACUUAACAAUGACUUUAGUUCUUUUAGGCGAAAAUCCAUCCCAACUAUAUCCUCGUUAAUGUGCAAAAGCUUAGAAUUCAUUGAUCUUUUAAAAAUCAGGUUAACAAUUUCCUUAAUAUGCUUUGACUCAUACCUGCCAAUUAUAAAGUACAAUUUAACACUUCAUGAGUUAUAAUGAAUUGCAAAAAGAUAACAAAUAUUAAGUAAAUUUAUUGAUAUUUUUUUGCUUUUGUCAAUAUAACAAAAGUAAUAGGAUGUAAAAAAAUGUUAAAAGAACCCACUAUAUUGGGCAUUUUACAAAUAAUGAAAAGGCAAGUAGUUUUGAGCCAAGUGUUUAUAAGAUCACAAAGCAAGCUUUACUACACAAAAUUAUUAACUUGUUAAUUCAUAAUUUAAGACAACUAAAUCCUUACAACUGAAUUAAAUCAAAAGCACAAAUUAAGGAAGUUGGAGUUACCCAUCAUUCACAUGGAAACCACUUAGAUUGCUUGCUUCAGUCAAGGAAUCCCUCCACCUUUGCACCUUUUUCACAUCUACAUUUCUUUCAUGAAUGGAAAAUGCCUCUCCGAAGCUCCCUGUUUGCUUUUGCACAUCACAAGGAUCCACGUGGUAGAACACCGGAAAGACUAUUUGUUCCAUUUCUUCCCUGCACUCCAUGAUCUUUGCUAACUCAUCCAAACACCACUUGGAAUGAGCAUAGUUUUUUGAAAACACAACUAUGGAAAUUCUUGAUUCUUCAAUAGUUUUCAAAAGUUCUGAUUUGAUCUCUUCUCCUCUUUCAAGUUGAUCGUCUCUGAAAGUCUUAAUCCCCAUCCCAUCCAAAUUUACGAAUAAAUGAUCCGUAAAAUUGUUGCGGGUGUCUUCACUUCUAAAACUCAAGAACACUUCGAACUCAUAUUUACGGACUGAGGUAGAAGAAGAAGAGGGUUUUUGGGUAGAGGAAGCCAUUGUUGGACAGUUUCUAGAUGAAAGCUUAGAGAGAGUCGAGGAAGAACUUGGGCUUAGUCAAUACUUGAUACGCCGACGGCAUAUUUGGGUCCUCGUAUGAAGCAAAACUAUUUUUUUUUUUUGGUGGUUGUGGGGUGGUUGGAUUGUAAAAAGCAAAGAUCGAUUUUCCCAAUACAUUUAAGCAGGCGAUCCUCUUGCCAUUUUUUGGGUCCAAAUGCAUAAGCAUGUGAUUUGUCAGUUAAAUGUCAAGGAGUAAUGAGUGGGGAGGUCGGUGGCUUUUAUUAUUAUUUUUUAUAUUUUAAAUAAAGAUCAACAUUUUAAAUACAUGCUUAUUACUAAAAAAAAUAAAAAAAUUUAACAAAUUAAUUAAUUUUAAUUAUCUUAUUAUUAAAUUUCAUUUAACUUAUUAUGAAAAUGUAAAAACCAUAAUAAUGAUUUACUGAAAAUAAUCUCUAUGUUUUUUGUAUAUUAAUUAUUUAUAAAUUUAUAUAUAUAUAUAUAUAUAUAUAUAUAUAUAAUUUAAAAAAUAAAUAUUCAUAUAUCAUUAGUUAUUUUAUACCCUAAAAUACAUUCAAACUAAAUAGAACAUUAUUUUUAUAAUAAAUGUGGUAAGAUACUUUAUAAAGUACCCUUUUCUUUAUUUUUAAGUUUUCUUUUUCACUUUACAAACUCAUCUAUGUUGCUAAAUGUAUCCCUUUUUUUGUUUUACAAUUUUUAUAUUCUUUCAACUUUUCAAACUCAAUAAUCCUUUAAAAAAAAAUUAAUUUUUAAAACUUUAUCUUUUAUAAAAAGUUUCUAAAACCAUAAAAUUUUUAGAUAAAUUUAUUAUUAUAUUUUUCAUUAAAAAUAAUAAUAACAAUGAAAUUUUUUAUAACGAUGAACCAUAAUAUUUCAAAAUUUCACAUAAAAUCUCAAUUACUUUAAAACGAAUGUUAAAUUAUAAAGAAUAAAUAUAAAUAAAGAGAUAAUAAUUAUUUCAAUUAUAUUCUAUUAAAGCUUUUGUUUCUCUUGUCUAAUAUUUAUAUUGACUCAUACAUAUCUUUCUGUUCCUCCAAUCUAAAACCAUAAAAAAUAACACUAAGGCAUUUUACAUUGGUGAAAGAAUACAUAGCAUGAAUAUAUUUGAAUUUGCAAGAUAAUUAUAUCAUGCAUCACUAAAUUUAUCCAUAAAAAUAAACUUACGAAAUGUUGCAAAUUAAAUAAUAUUUUUUUAAUCAAGAUUGGAUUGAAAAGGAAUUUUAUGAAUAUUCUAAAAUUCAUUCUCCCAUUUGAUUUUCGAGCAAAUCCAUGCAAAAGCCCCAAGAAAAACCAAAAAAAUUGUUUUUUUUUUUGCUCCCUAUGUUUUUUGGAUUUGUUCUAGGGGUCUCCGUCCCCCAUUCAAUUUCCAAAAAAAUUCAUCAUCGUUUGAUUUUUGAGAAAAUCCAUGCAAAACCCCUAAUAAAAACAAAAAAAGAAAUUUUUUUUUUUUUUUUGCUCCCUGUAUUUUUUGAGUCUAUUCUAAGGGUCUCUACGCUUUUGUGCAAUUGGAUUUAAAUUUCACAAACCCUAAAUCCACGAUUUUUGAGUCAAGCUGAAAAACACAACAUUUACCAGUCAACCGGUGAGAGGUGUGAGUGGGAGCCGACUUCACUAGGAGGGAGGGAGAGGCGGACGGUGGGUAUGGAAAGAAAAAAAAUAUACAAUCUUAAUAUAAAAAAUGAAAUCGGCUUAGAAUAUAUAAAAAAAUAUAUAAUUUUUCACAUUAGUUUUCAGAUUUUGUAAAGUUGAAUUCGGAAAAGUAUAUAUCUGUGGAUUGAAACCAUCAAAACACAAGUUUCCAGAUCAUUUAUUCACAAUUGUCAGAGUGUAAUGAGUGGGGAGAUGGGUGGCUUUGAAAAAAAGUUAAGUAAUUCAAAAGCAACGGUCAUCAUGUGACAAGAAUCAUUUAUUCACAAUUGUCAGAGUGUAAUGAGUGGGGAGGUGGGUGGCUUUGAAAAAAAUUUAAGUAAUUCAGAAGCAACUUAAUUCAAAAGCAACUUUAUUUCCUUGCGUUUACAUACCGAAAAUGCCGUUCAUGUAUGACAAUAUUUCCAUGAUAUGGAGCUUCUAACUGUUCAGGAAUAAUAAAUCAAGUUCAAUCGAAAAUGAAAAUGUCAUCGAUAUUGCAACAUUUCCACGAUAUAUCGAGCUUCGGUGGGCUUGGACAUGACAUAAAGUGGUGAGAUUUCCUUUGCUCGAUUUUUCGGGGAGAAAAUAUAUUAAGCACAGUGAUUUUUAUUUUGGUAUUACUUUGACCAGUCAAAACCUUUCAAUAUUAUUGCCAUGGAUCCUUCCCCCUUUAAUUAUUUUUAUUUUUCAUAUUCUAUUUUAUAUAUUAUUAAAAAUAUAAAAAUAUCAUAAUAAUCUUAUUAAUGAGGCAUUCCUUAUUUUUUUUUAAAAACUUAGAUAUAAAAUUAUUAACAUUUUUAAACAUAAAAAUAUAUUCAUAUAUCAUUAUUUUUUUUUAUAUUUUAAAUAAAGAUCAUCAUUUUAAACACAUGUUUGAUUACUUAAAAAAAAAAAAAAAUUUAAUAAAUUAAUUAAUGUUAAUUAUCUUAUUAUUUAAAUUUGAAAUUUCCAUCUUAUGCAAAUUUCAUAAAUUUGAAAAGAUCUCAUAUUAAUUUUUUCCAAAAUUAUAUUAUAUUGUAUGAACCUAGAAAACUUUUAAAAACUUUAAAAAUAUUAAAGCCAUUAUAAAUUUUAUUUUAUUCAAGUUUUAAAAAAUAAAAUCAUUAUGGAUUUUAUUUCAUUUGAGUAUAUUAAAUCACUUUUUAAAUACAUUUUAAAAUGAAAAAAAUUAGAAAAUAAAAUCAUUAUGGAUUUUAUUUUAUUUGAGUAUGUUAAAUCACUUUUUAAAUAUAUUUUAAAAUGAAAAAAUUAGAGUGCGUGUAUUGCCAAGAUGUUGACUUAGGCAUUGGAAAAAAUAGUAUAUGUACAUAUAUUAUUAUAAUAAUAAAUAAUGAGAAGAAACAUACAACUUAUUGUUUUAGUUUUAAGAUUUUGUGCGUGUAACGAAGAUAGAAGGGUAAUGAAUUAAUUAUGUAUUGAAUUUGAAAAUUAAUAAAAAUUAUAAUAUUUAGUCAUGUAGUUAUAUUGAUGUAUGGUAUUUAAAUUCGUUCUAUUAAAUUUUUCCUUUUUCUAAUGAUAUAAAAUGGGUGCAUUAAAUGUUUAAUAAGACAAAAAUAAUAAUAAGAGGAUAUAAAUGACUCUAUAGAUAUUUUAAAAUAAGUGUAUAAAAAGGGUCAUCAAAAAUAUAAUUUUUGGAUUUAACAAAAUAACAUCUGAGUUUUAAGUUUAAAAAAAUUUAAAACUACAAUCGUCAAAGAUGGGACGUAACGAUACUAGUUGGGAUAUGGUAACAUUUUCCUUUAUAAAUAUACUAUAUUUAUAGAUAAAUAUUGAAUACAUAGGGGAUGUGCAUGGGGUCUGAAAGAUGGGUAUAUGUGAAUAUGGGUGUGAGGGAGUUAGUGAGAAAUGGAGAUGACCAAUACAUGCAUGGUUCUUAUGCACGAGUAGAAAACGAGUAGUGGGGCAAUGAAUGAGGCAUCUUGGCGUGGUGGGUAUGAAUGGUGGAAAGGCACUGAAACGAAGUGGGUUUGAAGGGUUCGGUGUGUGUGAGUAAAUGUCAUAUGGGGGUAUGAUGAGUAGUGGUACCCAUGUGCAUGAGAUUAGUUAUAUUGGGUGGUGUAGGUUGGUAAGAAAACGGUGUGCUAGAGAGAGAAAGGUGGUGAUGGGCAUUUAAGUUUAGAGGGAGAAACGGGUCUAGUGGGUAUGUGAAUAAUGGAAAUGCGUAAGAGGAUAUGAAGAGUAGGAUGGGUGGUAGUGGAGUAUGAGGUAUGAUUAGGAUGGGAAGGUGGCGAGACUGCAUGGGAGAAGCUGUUAAUGACGAGUGCAAAUGAGAGGAACAGUGACGAUAGAGUAGAUGCUGCAUGAUCAGCAAAGGCAUUCACAAAUUGGGGUGGCUGGCUUGAAGCUGGGGUUGAGACCAAAACAUUUAUCAUUGGAGGAGUUAGUGGAGAUCCCUUCAUCAAUGAUGACCAACCAGGCAUUGGGCUUGGAACACUACGAGGUAGUUGGUUGCUGCGUCCAUUAACAUAGCCUAGCCACAAAUAUGCUGAAGUAUCCAGCAGAUUCCUAGCAAUACAAACCUCAACAAUCAGAUGCCGCAUGUUUCCAGAACAGUUCAUUGACAAGUCAUUCAUGCUCAUGCCAUCCAGGUACCCACUCCCGGCCGUGAUGGACUCUGAUUCUUAGUUAAAUCUUAUUUUCCAAUUCCUUUCUCAGUCUUACCUACAUGAUCAACUUCACGUGAAAUAAUAGGACUUGAGCUCUCAUAUUCAAAGGUGUGUUUCAAUGGUUAAUUCAACACAGCUCCCUUCUUAGACACAGUCCUUGAAGAUAUUCCUGCACCCCUUCCACUAAUAUUUGACUUAUCAUCUAAGCCAGAGUGGUUAGAUGAAACCAUGCCUGAUGAUUGCUCCCUAUUAGGAUUUUCACGUACUCGAAACUCAGUGCGCUGGAUUCGUUUGGUUUCCUUUGAAAUCCACUAGAAUCUGCCCGAGAAGACUCAGGAACUGGAAAUGAUGAUCUUGGCCCAGAAUUCUUAACUGUGAACAUAUAUUUUUUGCCUUUACCAGCAAAUAUUGGGCCCUGAGCCUUUGACCCACUUAAAUCUCUGUCCCUUGAAAAAGAUUGGGAUGAUGUGGAUCCAUUUCGUGGCAGGCCUUCAGAUUCUCUGGCAUUGGACAAGGAAAUGUAGUUCUUUUUAAUUGUUUCAUGAUGCCCUUGAUCUGUCACUUGGAGUCCUAAUUCAUACCUACUAUUGUGUUCAACAAUAUGGACAUAUCAGCUAGGGCAUGACUUGUCAUAACACUACUGUUUGCACUUACUCUCAGGGGCAAUGACUACUUCUUUUGAUGCGUUGUCCUGUGGCAGAUCCAAGCUCCUUGGAACAAGACCAAGUUGACUGUCCAUUGGAAGGGACACUACGUCAAUCUUAGUGUUUUGAAUGGCUUGAACGUGGAAAAGCCAACCUUCAGGAUUCUGAUUGGUUGUAAAAUGGGCAGGGGCAUUGGGCUGAACAAAAGACAUUGGUUGAGGAGCCAGUGGUAGAAUUCCUUGGGAGAUAGGUGAUGUAUAUCUGAGUUGACCAAACUGGAAGAGAGGAGGCUAUGAUGUGUGUAUAUGGGUAAGUGAUGAACCAACUUGGGGAUGUAGAUGGAGAGGCAUCUGUAUGGAGCCAAUCUGGAGUAGCAGAUACAGUAGACGUAACCGCCUUCCCAUAUGAGGAAUGCAUGGCCACAUUAACAGAAGAGGGAGCGGGAUGCAGUGAAGUCUGACUAGAACUAAUAGAAGCAUCCACAGAAUUCAAAACAUUAGAUGCCACCGAGGUAUGAGGACCAUUAACCGGCUGUAUAACUAAAUCUUGGAUUGCCUUUCCUGCGUCUUCAUCCCUCCUGCCAGAACCAUCAAUGCUCACUUGAGGAGAGCCAUCAGUAAGUUGAGGGCUUUGUCCUUCAUGUAUCCCACCAAAAGCACCUUGUUCCUCUACAGUACCAAGAGAAACCUUCGAUAGCAUAAAUGUGCUUUCUUCAUUUCCUGAACUUCUCUCAAACUCAUCACUUGGCAUUCUAACUUCAACACCCUCAUCCAAGCCCAAGACCGAGUUGUCUACCGUGUGGGGAGAGCCUUUCUCUCCUAAAUGCACAUCCUCCAACUCCUUGGUCAGGUUAAUAUGCUCAUCUACUUCAUGCACUUCAUCUUCUUCAUCUGAACUCUCUCAGAAGCAUUUCGAUUAAAACGACCAGACCAAACAUGAUGCCCAACAAAUACAUGCAUAAAGUCACCUAGCCAUGAUAAGUGUGUUGCAACUCUUCAUACCCAUGGACUGAGAACAUAUUUCUUGCAGUACCUUACCUCUUCAGGCAGAGAUGGGAAAUCUGAUGCGGUCUACAGCCAAGCAACAGGAACAGAGGAAAACAGCAAACAGAACACAAAUAAUGGGAACCAAAUGAACCCCCACCAACCUCAUUUCACGUAUCAAUCAAUGAGCUUAGACGUAGGAGUGGGUCAAAGCAGAUUUCAAAUGAGUUUUAAAACAAAAUUAAGACAUGAAUGCCAAUAUCUCAUAAUCUCAAAACAGGGGACAUAAAACAGAUUAGAAAUCAAAGGCAAGUGCAAACAAGCUCAAAUUCCAUAAAAAUAAAAAUAAAAAACAAACUAAAAUCCCCAAUAAAUACAUUCAAACACCAAAAUAGAAUCUCAUGAUACCCAGAUAAUGCAAUAAAAUGGCAUGAACGUGGAAAAGCUAACCUAUAGAAAUAAUAUCUAAGCCUCCUUUUUUCAAGGCUCUUCCCCUGCGUGUUUCUUCUUGUCUCUGACUGGGUUUCUCUUCCAAGAAAAUACAACUGAUAUCCCUUUACCCAAGCAAUCUUACUCCUCGGGUAACCACACUGCAGCGCCCUCCCUCUGUAACCUCUCAAAACUCUCUCUCAUGUACUCCCUCAACAAGACUUACAUCUCAAGCUAACCUCUCACUGCCCAAAAUAUCUCUCCAAACAGCAGCGAAGACAUCACCCUCAAAAAAAAAAAAAUAUCUCUGUAAAAAAAUCACCUCCCUCUCAAUACGCUCUCUCUCCCCCCUCCAACUUGCUGCCCAAGCUAAAGGAAUCCCCUCUAGAAACCGAGUUUGCUCCCUCUCUAGCUAAAACUCUCCUCCCAAGCUCUCUGCAACUCAAAAAUAUCUCUCUCAAACCAGCCCACGGAAUACCCUCCUCAGACAACAACUUCUCCCUCCCUCUAGCUUGCUACCCAAGCUAAAGAUGAAAACCUCUCUAAAAAUAUCUCCUAAAAAAACCCACCCCUGAAAAACACCAUCUACUCCCUCAAAAUGUCUCCCCCCAAAACGACAACGAAGACCCCAACUAGCUGGCUACGCUCCUGCACCAGCUCACUAACGGCCUGCAACUUUUCCAAACUCUUCUUGACACGUGUCCACCUUAUUGCCUCUUCAAUCCACUAUUAUGAUUCCAUAGCAGCCAUCCCUGAAGCAACACGUGGCUCUUUGAGAGCCUUGGUAAGAAAAACUCACAGAAAAGUGAGAAAAAAUGAGCCCCUAAAAUGGGGGUCAACACAUGAUAAUUGUUACGGCCUAUGUAUUCAUAAAUGAAGCUUUAAUUUUUUUUUUAAUUAAUUCAAACCAAAUUUUGGCCUAAAAUAGAUACAAUAAUAUGAUCUUUCUUUUUGAAUUCCAUAAUUCUUUCCAAAGAUAGAAAAAAAAAGUUUUAACUUUAGAUUGCCCAAGAACAUAGAAUCUCCAAAUUUCAUAAAAUAAAUAAAAAACUAUUUAAAUGACUUGACCAUAUGUAAUUUCGUAUUGAACUCGGUAUUCUUCCAAGCAUGAAAUCAUCUUAAAAAUUCUUUAGAUAUAUUUUUUCCACUAAUUUUAAUAAGUAUUUUAACAUUCAGUAAAACCAAAAAUAGAGAGGCAUACCUUAUUGAGUUGAGAAGGAAGCAAGACAUGUCUUCAUUUUUUGUGGUUUGAGUUCUCUGCAUAAGAACUUUUGAUUUUAUUGUAAUGACAAAUUAAGAAAAAUAUGAUCUCAAAAUUUUUAAUCUAUGGUAAUGACCAAAUAAAAAAUAUAUAGCUAUGAAAUGAGAAGUAUAUCAUAAGUUACAUGUAUCCAACGUGAAGAUCAAAAGAUAUGGCAAAGAUAUAGCUUUGAAGGAAAGAGGUAGGGACCAGAGUAAAAAUAAAAAAUAAAAAAUAAAAAAAUCAUGAGUUAUAAUAAACACACAAAAACUUUUAUAUUUCAUGAAGUGCCGUUGAUUUAAAAAUAAUAAGUAAUUAUUGAUAUUAGUUGUAAAAGAGAAAAAUAUCAAAUAUCAAAUGAAAAACAAAAAUAGAUAAAAAAAAAAUAGUUUUAAUUAUUGGUAUUAGUUAUGAAAGAAAAAAAACCUAUAAAGGAUUAAAUGAAACAAAAAAUACAGAAAUUUAUAUUAAAAAAAUAAAAAAUAUUUUCAAAGAAUUAAAAAAAGAUAGCAAGAAUUUUUUUUUUAGUAGAAUUUUUCAAUUUUUUCUUUUGUAAAAAAACUUUUUAAAAAAUCAUUAAUUUUAAUAAAAUUUUAGAAUUUUUUGAAAUAAUUAAAUUGAUAAAUUUUCUAUUUAAAAUUUAUUAUAAUAUAGAGGUAGCACUAUCCUUAUCAAUAGUAAAUUAGUUACAACAUGAUUAAAUCUAAAAUUUUAGGUAUCUUAAAAAUCUUAAAGUCAACCAAAACAACCUACACUAAAAAAGUUAUUUAAUAAACUAUAAAUUAUUUAAAUUAAAUUAAAUUUUAUUAACAAUUAAGUAGAAAUAAUCUAAAUAAUCAUAUAGUCAUUUGUAGUUUAGUAACUACUUAAUUAAAUUUAAAAAUUUAAACAUUUAACAAAUAUCAAAAUCAAACCAAAUAUCCCAUCACUAAAAAUAUUAACUUUAUAAUUAAAAAAACAUUUUUAAAAAUUUGUUUUAUGAUAUAUAUUACGAUUUAAAUAAAAUUAAUUUUAUAAGCAUUAAAUAAAAUAAAAAAUAUGAUAAAUAAAUAUUUUAUAAAAUCUAUUUAGUAUCGGCAUUUAUCUAAUUUCUUUUUUUUCAUACAAAAUCGUUUUAUGAGGAGCUGAAAGCUUAUAUUUUGGCUUUUUAUUCUUUAACAUUCCUAAAUAAAUAGAAGGAUAUUUUGCCCCAAGCCCACCAUGCUCCUUCACUAGCCCUAGGUCAUGCUCUCACCUUUUAGAUUGUUUAUAAAUGGAUGCUUCGCUUUCUCACAUUACCAAAUGAGAAAAAGGCCAAAGCGAGGGCAAAAUAACUAUUAAAUUAUAUAUGUUUCACGUAAAUAGAGUUUUUGUAACAUAAUCAAUCAAUUUAAGAAACAUAUCAUAAUUAUUAUUAAGCUCUAAAUAUAUAGUUUACGUGAAAAUAUUCACCUUCCAUUUUGCCUCCUAAAUUGCAUGCUUUUGACUACCUUCAAAAUUUCGAUAAUCUAUUCCAAAUAUGAUACUUGAAUAAGUCAUAAAGUAUUUUUUUUAAAAAAAGAAAAAAGAAAAAUGAGUUCUAACUUUCAAACAAACCUAAGGUAGGGGUUCUCAAAAUUUCCUAAAAUUUUAGGAAAAUUAAGAACACAUAAUUAAAAUAAAAUCAUGAAAAGAAAAAAAAGGAAAAAAUGACUCACUAGGUUAUGAUUUUAAAAAUUAUUUAGAUAUUUCUUUUUUCACUAAUUCAAUCUAACAAAUAAUUUAACCAAUGAUUAGUUAUGGUUCCAUGAUAUGAUGAUGAUAGUUGUCCUCUACUUUUUCAUCUUAAAAAAUGAAGCAAAAUAAGUAUUAAUUCAUGCUUUAAAAGAUGAUUAUGCAGUUUAAAAAACAUAUGAUUUGGCAUACCAAUUUAGAUAUGAAGUUCUAAAUAAAAAUUGUAAUUAAUUCAAACAAAAAUUUUGGCCUACCAAAAUAGCUACGAUUUUUCUUUUUAAAUUCAAUAAUUCAUUGUAAAGAUAAAGCUUUGAUAGCUGCUAAGAUAUUUAUUAAGGAAAAAAAAAGUUUUAACUUUAGAUAGGCCAAGAAUAGGGGAUCUCCAAAUUUCAUAAAAUCUUUGGAUGAUUACAAACAAAUAAAUCAAAAUAAAAGCUUAAAAAGAAAAAACUUAUUUAAAUGACUUGACCAUAUCUAAUUCGAUAUUGAACUCCAUAUUCUUCCAAUCAUCUAAUCAUUUUAAAAAUUUCUAGUAAGUAUUUUAACCUUCAAUGAAACCAAAAACAGAGAAGGCAUACAUUAUUUGGGUGAGCUGGAAACAGGGAUGUCUUCAUUUUUUCUAGUUUGAGUUCUUUGUAUAAGAACAUUUUAUUUUAUUGUAAUGAAUAAAUGAGAAAAAUAUAAUCUCAUAAUUUUUAAUCUAUUGUAAUGAGUAAAUAAAAAAAAUAUAGAUAUAUAAUUAGAAGUAUAUAAGUUAAAUGUUUCAAACCAUCUUUUAUAAGAAUAUCAAAAGAUAUGGCCAUAAAGGACAACGGAGUUAGGUGGAUAGGGGGAAAAGUCAAAAGACCAAAAAAAAAAAAAAACUCUUAAUUUAUAAUCAACAUACAAAAACUUUUAUAUUUCAUGAAGUGGUCUAAGUAUCAUUUUAAAAAGUACGUAAUGAUUGACAUUAAUUAUGAAGGAAAAAAAAUAUAUGAACUAACAAAUGAAACAAGAAAAAUAGAAAAAGAAGUGUUGUAAUUGUUGAUAUUAGUUAUGAAAAAAAAAUAAAAACUAUCAAAUGAAACAAGAAAAAUAGAUAAAGAAGUGUUGUAAUUGUUGACAUUAGUUAUGAAAAAAAAAUAAAAACUAUCAAAUGAAACAAGAAAAAUAGAUAAAUAAGUGUUUUAAUUAUUGAUAUUUGUUGUAUUAUGUGACUCAUAUUGAGUGAAAGACAUAUAGAGAAAAAUGUGCAAAUACUGAAACAAAGCGAAGUGAAACGGAGCAGAGUAACAACAUUUGCCAUUCAAACUUGUAUUUUUAUUGUUGUGGGCGAAUGAUAGGUUGGGAGGGUUCGAGGAAGGGGGGCGUCUUCCCGCAAUAUAGUGUAGGGGUAUUUUGGAAUUUCAUUACCUAAGGGUUAGUACAAAUACCCUUUUUAUAUAACCCUAAUUUUAGAUAUAGUGAAAGUUUUCUUCCCUAUUCUCGUGGAUGUAGACAAUCUGUUGAACCACAUUAAAUUUGUGUGUUUUUCUUUUCAUUUUCUCUAAUUUUCACCAUAAAUCGUUGCAUGAAACUUAACAAUUGGUAUCAAAGCGUCAGGUUCGAUGUCAGGGAUUUCUUUACGAAGUUCGACAUAGUCAAGUUCGAUGGAUUCGGGAAUUUCGAUUUAUGGCAGAGGACGAUUAAGGAUCUAUUAGUGCAACAAGGUAUGGUUGAUUACUACUCAAAAAGUGUUAUUUCAUAGCUUGUAAUUAACUCUUUUAAACAUUUUUGAGUAUUGGUUAUUACCUUUUAACCCAAUUAACAUGUUAAGGACCCUUGUAAUCAAUUCUAAUAAAAAAUGUGUUAAGUUUUGGUGUUUUGAUAGCUUUUUGAUCACCAAAGCAAUCUGAGAUUGAAGAGAGUUCUUUGGAAUCCAUGCAAGGAGUAUACCCGGACAGGGUGUCCGGAUACACCAUCGGAGGGCAUCCGGACAAUACAUCCGGAUAGUGGAAGUGCGCCACCAUUCCAUCCGGCUGCCGCCACUUUAUACCCGACUGCCGCCACUUUACACCCGGAUGCCGCACUUUCCACCCGGAUGUAUCACAUCCGGAAAUCUGCUGCCGCCGCCAUUACAUCCAGAUGUCUCACAUCUGGCACAUUAUAUCCGGAUAUUUUGCAUCCGGCGCCUGACGCCGGAUGGGAGAGGAGAGCGUUUUGCACAGUGUCACGGUGUUCUCUUGAAGCUUCCCGAUAUUUGCACCGAAAUUUUGGGAUAUUUUGAGAUAUUUUGCUUUAGAUAUUUAAUGUCGGUGUUCUCCUGAAGCUUCCAGAUAUUUACGACUGACACUUUGGGAUAUUUUGUUUUAGAUAUUUUAUGUCUAAAUUCCCAAAGUCUCCUUGUAACCCACCAAUUAUAGGAUUCCUUAGUCUUUAAGUAAGUACAAAGGGUAAAUAACCCUUUAUAUAUAGUUUGUAAUCUUCUUUGAAAGAAGGAUCAGAAUUAGAUCUCGGGAGCCUGUUCCCAAGGAGGUAUAUCCUGGGAGCUUGUUCUCAGAGAUGCAUCCUUUGUACAGUUUUGGGAAGGAAGUAAAAUACAGAGUACUUGCUCUGCUUUUGUUUUCUCGUUAUUUUCUUUCUAGCUAAUCAAAUUCUAAGGAUUUUUCCUCAGAGGAUGAGAGGUUAGGCUCUUUGUUUCUUGGAGUGAAGAAAGCCGAGUAAAUUUCCUCAUGCAUAAAUUGGAAGUUUUGUUGUUUUAGUUUUUAAUGAAGAGAAAGUGUGACCCAUUAAUGGUUUUUAUCUUUUUAGUUAACUUAAAACGCCUUUAAAUCACCUGGGCCAACACUUGGUAAGCUUUUGGACUCUACGGAGACAUCCAUUAGUUAUCUCUUGCGAGCUUUUGACGGGUAAUCCAAGGUUAAAGAUCACCUUGAAUGGCAAGUGCUAGGUGAGAGGUAUGAGCCACUGCAAGGUGCAUCAAUGAGAGAGAUUUAGUGUUUGAACCCAUUAAUGGGAAGCAUCUGUACCACACCGGUUCGGGAAAUAACUAUAUGUUAAAUCCCCAAUGCGAGGAAAAUAAACGAGUGACCGGAACUCUCCUUUUUGUAUGAGGAAUCUGAACCUAGUGAUCUAAACUCCAAGAGACACUUUUCUUUAUAAGUAAAAUCAGUUACUAUUUUUGGUUAGUUUAAAACCAAACCUUUUUCCGCUAAAGAUUAUGUUUUCUUUUAAAGCUAACCUUGAAAUGAAAAGGCAUCAAUUCAACUUUGAAUUAAUAUCAAUUGUGAAGUGAAAACCCAUCCCAGUGAACGAUCCUAGAGCCACUAUGUUAUAGUAGCUUUGUCUUUACUACCCUAGUUCAUGGUGUAAUAGGUUAUAAAUUUUGUUGAUUACUCCCUCAAUCAAGGAGCACCAGCUGGACAUGAAUCAGCUGAUACACCAAGUGGGCACGAAUCAAAUGGCGCCGUUGCCGGGGAUGGUGCCACUUUACAGUGAUAUGACCUUUUCAGAGUACUUGUGAUCUUCAUCACAAGUUUGGUGACUUUUCUUUUCCUUUUACUAACUCUUUUUAUUUGUUUAUUUUCCUUUGUUCAUGUUUUAGUAUAUCUUUUAUUUAGUUUUUAGUUAAACUUAAUAAUUUUCUUUAGAAUUUUUUUUUUCUUUUGUUUUCUCUGUUUUUAAUUCAGAAAUUGCUAGUUGUGCAUGCCAUAUUGAAUACGAGAUAGCAGAGGAAGCCAUUAACUUCAUGAGUUAAGUGGCUAAAUUUUCAAGAGGAUGGGAUGAACCAAAUGUUAGAAAUAUGGGCAGAAUGACAUCUCAACCUAAAACUAAGGGUGAGAUGUAUAUUUUGAAUGACGGCAUGAACAUGAAGGCAAAGAUUGCAGCUAUGGAAAGGAGAUUGGAAGAGCUAGAAAUGAACCAGAUGCAAGAAGUGCAAGCCAUCUCUCAGACACCAUUGCAAGCUAUGCCUUGUGCCAUUUGUCUAUCUUAUGAGCACUUGGUGAAGGAGUGUCCUACCAUUCCAGUGGCGAGGGAAAUGUUUGGUGAUUGCAACACCUACAAUUCCAAUUGGAGGAAACAUCCAAAUUUCUCUUGGAAACCACAGCCACCUCAGUACCAGCAACCUACUCAAGCACCACAGCAAGCCUCAAACCUUGAACAAGCUAUGAUGAAUCUUAACAAGGUCAUGGGAGACUUUGUUGAAGCUAAAAAAUCCAUUGUUGAUCAAGUCAGGCAAGAAAUUGACAGCCAAGACAAAAAGACGGAUGGGAGGUUGAAUGAUCUGUCUCAGAAGACAGACAAUCUCGAAUACACAAGCUCAAGGUUUGCCAACCUCAACGCAAUGCAAGAGAAAGAAAACUUUCUUUUUCAACCUCAUAAAAAUCAAAAGGGUAUCCAUGAAAUAGAGGUUGGGGAGAGUGAUAAAGAGGUUGAUCUGCCCGCAUGCAAGCUAGAGCAUGAGGUAGAGAGUGAAACAGAGAAAGAAAAGAGGGAGGAAAUCAAAGGAAAGAGAAAGGGGAAAAGUACAGAGAAAGAUGACUGUAUAAAUGAAAAAUCACAGAGAAUAGUCAUCAAGGAAGAAUUGAUGAAGAAACGCAUACCUCCACUUUUCCUCCAAGCUUUGUAUGGGAAAAUCAUACAAAACAAAUCCCAAGUGAGGGAUGCAAACUUCAUAUGGGAUCCGGGCAAGCUAAAUCAGGAUCAAAUUUUUUUAUGGACUUAGUCUUUUUAAAGACUAGCUAGUCCAUAUCUUUUUGUUUUGUUUUUUACUUGUUUUAAUUUUGAUUUUAAUGUUUUAAAUUUUGAUUUAAAUGCUUUAAUUUUGAUUUCAAUGCUUUAAUUUUAAUUUGUUUUGAUGUAAUAUAGGUUUUUGGAUGAUUAAAAUCAAGAGGAAUGUCAAAAGAGUUGAAAGAAGGAAGUUGAGAAUCAAGAAGAGCUCAAAAAGCAAGGAGAGAGCAUGGCCUGCGAAAUUUCGCAGCAAAAGUGAGCCGCUGCGAAAAUCGCCCCCCUCGCUGCGAAAUGGUUUCACAGCCUCCAAGCGCCCUCUGCAAAAAUUUUCACAGCUGCGAAGAGGUCCCUUGGCACACGAGUGCCAUUUCGCAAGCCUGUACACCCGUUUCGCAGCUGCGAAAUGGCUGCGAAACCUCCACGCCUUGAAAUCCUCCAUUUCGCAGCCGAUGAGCCAUUUCGAAGGGUGUUUCGCAACUGCGAAACCACCCUUUGGCACACGAGUGCCACUUCGCAGCACCCGUACGCCCAUUUCGCAACUGCGAAAUGGGCUGUGAAAAUUGCCCUCCUCCGCGAAAUCCACCCCCCGCUACGAAAAUGCUCAAAGCUUCAAAAAUGGGCUGCAAAAUUCCCAUUUUGUUGCCAAAUGAUUUCCAAACUUCCAAAUGGCUGUGAAAUGAUCUCCAAGCUUCAAAAUGGAUGUAAAAUGGCCUCUAAGCUUCAAAAAGGCUACGAAAAAGCUCCAGGCAUCAAAAUGGGCUGCGAAAUGAUUUCGCAGCCCCAUAGCUACCCCUUGUGAAAUCCUCCAUUUUCUGUAAAAAUGGCCUUUUGAUUGCGAAAUGAUUUUCCAAACUUCAAAAUGGUUGUGAAAUGAUUUCCAAACUUCGAAAUGGGCUGCAAAAAUGUUUUUCUUUUUUCCUUUUGGCUUCGAAAUGGCUAAGAAAUGGCCUCCAAGCUAUGAAAUGAUUUGCAAAAACACUUUGCAAAACCAAGGGAAGUUGCAAAAAUGCCAACAAAGCCAUGCAACCAUGCAUCUAAAGAGGAGAGCCCUCUCACUGAGAUCACACACAUGAAGCCUCUCACUCCACUUCUUACCUCCUAAAACCAUAAGAGCCCAUAGCUCCAGUUGAGGAGACUAUGCCACCUAAGGAGACUACCAGAAUAGAGGCCAAAGUCAUGAUCCAACCUACUCAAGAGGCCACCACAGAUGUAUUAACACCACAGAUGCAUCAGCUCCACAGGACCUUACCAUUAUUUGAUCAUCUCUUUACUUUUUGUCUUUACAUAUUAUAUUAGUAUACAUAAUUCCAUGUUUUGAUGUCUUAUAUUCUGGGAUUGGAUGUAUUACUGAUGAUGCAUCAUAUAUAGACAUCAAUUCUUGUUUAAAACUUGGCAUUUUUCUAUUUGCUCUACUCACUAUUUUUUUUGAAACAUGUGGUUUCUCCUAUACGACUCAGACUCCAUGUCACCCAGGAGGUACCACUUCCUCCCUAUUAUUCAAUCGUGUUGUCACAUUGAGGACAAUGUUCAUCUUGGUUGAGGGGAGAGUUGAGGAAGUAAGUUUUGUUAAUAAUGCUAAGUUAUUUUGGUAAUUUAGUUGUUUUUGUUUAAUUUUUAAAAUUUUUUGAAAGUUUUUUAUUCUACUCUCCAUGCUUAUUAAGGAAAAAUUUUCAAAAUGAAAAGGGAGAAAUUGAAUUUUUGUCUUUUUACUUAACUUAGAGUUUGUAUUAUGCUUAUUAAAGUUGAUGAAUUGUUGAAACUUCUAUUGAAUUCAAGCUUAUGUCUUCCACUUUAAGCUAUUCACACACUGUGCACAAUAGGUUCCGAUUAUAAGAUGAAAAACUAUUUCCCUCUUGACUUAGGAAAAUUUAGACUUGGUACCUUUGACAUCAUUUAAUAGUGUUGGGACACCUUAUAAAAGGCCAAUGAGUCUUUGAAAAAAAAAGAAGAAAGAAAAAUGUUUGCUUACCUUGAAACCCGAGCAAGGUCCGAGGGGUAUAUGGUAAAAAUCUUUAAAACCUGGUGCCCUAAGCCUUCAUUGGUUGGGAGUCACCGACCUCAAUACUCGUUACAAGGGUGAAUAUGUGGAGUUUAACAUACUGUAGGUGCUUAGGUAUAAAAAUUCAUUCUUAAAAGUCCGGGGUAAAAUCCGAGGAGUUAGUCGUUGAAAAAUCCUUAAAACUUGAUGCCCAAAACCUUAAUUGGUUGGGAGUCAUCGAUGGAUCCCCAUUACAUGGACAGUUUAGAAAAGAAAUACCUUUAAGCCUUGUACUCCUACAAUGAAAAAAAUUGUGAAAAAAAAAGGUGCGUUCUUAGCCUAUUGGAGGUUGAUCAGUUUGCUAAGCUUUGAAAAAAGAACUAGGUUGGGGGGAGAGAUUAGUUCAACAUACUAUAUUCGGAAGCUAAUAAAUAACACUUAGAUUUUUGUGGAAGAGUAAGGUUUGACCAUUUGGGAGUGGAAACUCUUUUAAAACUUAAAUUUGCAUAAUGCCUUCUCUUUAAGAAUAAUGAUUAGACAAGUUAUUUGAUAACUCUUGUUGAAAUUUGAGUUUUAUUUCUUUAAAUGUUCCAUGUGAGAGGUAGAUCAUCAUGCCACUUGAAAAUUGUUUUUUGAUCAAGCAUGAUGUUGUAAAUUAUAGUAUUGUUUAUUUUUAUUUUUCUCUUCUUCAUUGCUAAGGGACUAGCAAUAUGUCGGUUGGGGGGAGUGAUUACUACUCAAAAAGUGUUAUUUCAUAGCUUGUAAUUAACUCUUUUAAACACUUUUGAGUAGUAGUUAUUACCUUUUAACCCAAUUAACAUGUUAAGGACCCUUGCAAUCAAUUCUAAUAAAAAAUGUGUUAAGUUUUGGUGUUUUGAUAGCUUUUUGAUCACCAAAGCAAUCUGAGAUUGAGGAGAGUUCUUUGGAAUCCAUGCAAGGAGUAUACCCGGAUAGGGUGUUAGGAUACACCAUCGGAGGGCAUCUGGACAAUACAUCCGGAUAGUAGAAGUGCGCCCCCAUUCCAUCCGGCUGCCGCCACUUUACACCUGGAUGCCGCACUUUCCACCCGGAUGUAUCACAUCUGGAAAUCUGCUGUCGCCGCCAUUACAUCCGGAUGUCUCGCAUCCGGCACAUUAUAUCCGGAUAUUUUGCAUCCGGCGCCUGACGCCGGAUGGGAGAGGAGAGCGUUUUGCACAGUGCCGCGGUGUUCUCUUGAAGCUUCCCGAUAUUUGCACCGACAUUUUGGGAUAUUUUGAGAUAUUUUGCUUUAGAUAUUUAAUGUCGGUGUUCUCCUGAAGCUUCCAGAUAUUUACGACCGACACUUUGGGAUAUUUUGCUUUAGAUAUUUUAUGUCUAAAUUCCCAAAGUCUCCUUGUAACCCACCAAUUAUAGGAUUCCUUAGUCUUUAAGUAAGUACAAAGGGUAAAUAACCCCUUAUAUAUAGUGUGUAAUCUUCUUUGAAAGAAGGAUCGGAAUUAGAUCUCGGGAGCCUGUUCCCAAGGAGGUAUAUCCUGGGAGCUUGUUCUCAGAGACGCAUCAUUUGUACAAUUUUGGGAAGGAAGUAAAAUACAGAGUACUUGCUUUGCUUUUGUUUUCUCGUUAUUUUCUUUCUAGCUAAUCAAAUUCUAAGGAUUUUUCCUCAGAGGAUGAGAGGCUAGGCUCUUUGUCUCUUGGAGUGAAGAAAGCCGAGUAAAUUUCCUCAUGCAUAAAUUGGAAGUUUUGUUGUUUUAGUUUUUAAUGAAGAGAAAGUGUGACCCAUUAAUGGUUUUUAUCUUUUUAGUUAACUUAAAACUCCUUUAAAUCACCUGGGCCAACACUUGAUAAGGCAAGUGAUCUCCAUCCAUUGAGAUGCACUAGUUUAUCUCUUGCGAGCCUCUGGGAGGUAGUUUGAAGGUAGGAUUUUCUAGAAUAGCCAACACUUGGUAAGCUUUUGGACUCUACGGAGACAUCCAUUAGUUAUCUCUUGCGAGCUUUUGACGGGUAAUCCAAGGUUAAAGAUCACCUUGAAUGGCAAGUGCUAGGUGAGAGGUAUGAGCCACUGCAAGGUGCAUCAGUGAGAGAGAUUUAGUGUUUGAACCCAUUAAUGGGAAGCAUCUGUACCACACCGGUUCGGGAAAUAACUAUAUGUUAAAUCCUCAAUGCGAGGAAAAUAAACAAGUGACCGGAACUCUCCUUUUUGUAUGAGGAAUCUGAACCCAGUGAUCUAAACUCCAAGAGACACUUUUCUUUAUAAGUAAAAUCAAUUACUAUUUUUGGUUAGUUUAAAACCAAACCUUUUUCCGCUAAAGAUUAUGUUUUCUUUUAAAGCUAACCUUGAAAUGAAAAGGCAUCAAUUCAGCUUUGAAUUAAUAUCAAUUGUAAAGUGAAAACUCAUCCCAGUGAACGAUCCUAGAGCCACUAUGCUAUAGUAGCUUUGUCUUUGCUACCCUAGUUCAUGGUGUAAUAGGUUAUAAAUUUUGUUGAUUACUCCCUCAAUCAAGGAGCACCAGCUGGACAUGAAUCAGCUGAUACACCAAGUGGGCACGAAUCAAUGGUGAAGGUGUUAUCCGGAAAACAACCAAAAAGAAUGAAUGACAUGGAUUAGAAGGAUUUGGAAGCAAAGGUUGCGGCAACUAUCAGGCUUUGUUUGGCUGAUAAUGUGAUGUACCAUGUCAUGGAUGAGGAAUCAUCGACGAUAAUUUGGUUGAAAUUGGAAAGUCGGUAUAUGUCUAAGUCAUUGACGAACAAGUUGUAUCUGAAGUAAAAACUGUAUGGUCUUAAGAUGGUAGAGGGCUCAGAUCUAAGCCAGCAUAUCAAUGUGUUUAAUCAUAUCAUUAGUGAUUUGAAGCGAAUUGAUGUGAAGUUCGAAGAUGAAGACAAGGCGUUGAUGUUAUUGAAUUCCCUUCUUGCUUCUUCUACAUAUGAAAAUCUAGUUACAACUCUGAUGUGGGGAAAAGAAACUCUUGAUUUGGAGGAUAUCACAAGUAUUCUUUUAGGAUUCAAUAAGAAGAAGAAAGCCAAUAAUGAGAGUUCUCGGGGUGAAGGGCUUGUGGCAAAAAGUAAUCAGGAACGUGGGAGAAACAAGUUUCGGAGCGAAUCGAGUAACAAUAAAUCUCGAUCUAAAUCCAAGAAGAGAAAUGACAUACAAUGUUAUAAGUGCGAAAAAAAUAGGGCACAUGAAACGAGAUUGUCCAGAGAAAAAGAAAGAGGGCUCGGUAUCGAAAAAUAAAGAGGGUAUCAAAGUCUACAAAUGCAGUGGUAGAAGAAGACUCAGAGAGUGGUGAUGGUGAUAUGUUGUUGGUUUCAUCCAGUUCAAAUCAUCUUACAGAUUCUUGGAUCUUAGAUUUAGCAUGGUCUUAUCAUAUGACACCCAAUAAAAAUUGGUUUAACACAUACAAGUUAGUAAAUUCUGGUUCUAUUAUGAUAGGUAAUGAUGUUUCAUGCAAACUUGCUGGAAUAAGGAAUAUCAUAAUUAAAAUGUUUGAUGGUGUUGUUAGAACAUUGUGUGAUGUUAGACCUAUACUUGAUUUAAGAAAAAAUAUGAUUUCUUUGGGGACUUUAGAUUGUAAUGGGUUUAGUUACAAGUCUACAAGUGGAGCAAUGAAGGUGAGUAAAGGUGUUAUGAUAGUGAUGAAAGGGCAGAAGCUAGCAAGUAAUAUUUAUAAACUGUUAGGUUCCAUAGUUGUAGAUGCAGUUGCAACUGUAGAGUCUGAGUCAGAUAGUACAGUUUUAUGGCAUAUGGGUGAGCGUGGGAUAAUGGAGCUUUAUAAGAGAAAUUUGUGUCAAAACAUGUAAACUUGAUUUAUGCAAGUAUUGUGUUUUUGGGAAACAGAAUAAAGUGCAGUUCAAGAUAGCCACACACAAAACAAAGGAGUUUCUUAACUAUGUUCAUACAAAUGUUUGGGGACCAAUGAGAGUAGCAUCAUUGGGAGGAAAUAUGUAUUUUGUGACUUUUAUUGACGAUUACUCACUAAAGGUUUGGGUGUACUUCAUGCGGCACAGGUCAAAAACAUUUUCCAAGUUUAAGUUAUAGAAAGCUGAAGUAGAAAACUAGACAGGGAGAAAGAUAAAGUGCCUCAGGUUAGAUAAUGGUACUGAGCAUACAGAUUCAAAAUUCACAAAAUUGUGUGAGCAGCAUGGGAUAAAAAGACACUUCAUAGUAUGCAAGACACCAGAACAGAAUGGUGUAGCAGAAAGGAUGAACAGAACAAUAGAUGAAAGAGCUUGAUGUCUCAGAUUGAAUAUAGGGCUUGAAAAGAAAUUUUGGGCAGAAGCAAUGAACAUGGCAUAUUACUUGAUCAACAGGUCACCCAGAGCAGCAUUAGAUGGGAAAGUAGUAGAAGAGGUAUGGACAGGCAGUCCGAUAGAUUACUUUGGUUUGAGAGUAUUUGGGUGCCCAACUUAUGUGCAUAUUUCUAAUGAGGAAAGAUCGAGCUUGAUGCGAAGUCUAGACAAUAUGUUUUUUUGGGGUAUCAGAAAUGGGUGAAAGGCUUCAAGCUCUGGGAUCCAAAGGCAAACAAGGUGGUGAUCAGUAGAGAUGCGAUUUUUGAUGAGAAAGUCAUGUUACAGUGUACUCAGAAAUGAGAGAAACAGGAACCAAAAAAUGGCAGCAAUAGUGAGCAACUGAUACAGGUGGAAUUAGAGACCCAUGAUAUAGAGGAUCGUGCUCGAAAUGUAAGGAAGUCUAGUUCAGAAGAUUAAAAGCAUCACAGUAUAACCACAAACAGACAUAGACGCACUAUCAAGCCACCUACCAGGUAUGGUUUUGAAGAUUUGGUUUCUUAUGCACUAAUUACUAGUAGUAGGGAUCCUACUACCUUUCAAGAGGCAAUACACAACUAAAAGAAAAGUGGAUGGAUGGGUGCUAUGGUGGAGGAGACUUAGUCUUUUGCAUAAGAACCAGACAUGGGAGUUGGUGGAGCUUCUAGAGAGGAAGAGAGGAAUAUGAUGUAAGUGGGUGCACUAGAAGAAAGAAACAGUUUCAGAAAAAAAUAGUGAAAGGUUCAAAGCUCGUUUAGUAGCAAAGGGUUACUCAUAGAGGAAAGAGGUUGACUAUGAUGGGAUUUUUUCCCCCCGUGGUCAGACACACUUCCAUUAAGAUAGUGUUGGGCUUAGUAGCACAUUUUGACAUGCAGUUGGAGCAAAUGGAUGUAAAGACAACUUUUCUUCAUGGUGACUUAGUGGAAUUGGUUUAUAUGGUACAACCAUAAGGGUUUAUUCAACCUGGACAAGAGCACUUGGUCUAUAAAUUGAGAAAAUCACUUUAUGGGUUGAAGUAAUCCCCAAGGCAGCGGUACAAGCGAUUUGACUCCUACAUGAUCAAGAUUGGCUACAAGAGAUGUGAGUAUGAUUAUUGUGUUUAUGUAAAAAGCCUAGAUGAUGAUUCAUUUAUUUUUCUAUUACUCUAUGUGGAUGACAUGUUAAUUGCUACAAAGAGUAUGAUUAAGGUCAAUAAGUUGGAGUCUUUGUUGAGCAAGGAGUUUGACAUGAAGGAUUUAGGUGCGGCCAAGAAGAUCCUUGGGAUGGAGAUUCAUAAGGAUAGAGUUUCAGGGAGACUAUGGUUAUCUCAGCAUAGCUAUGUCAAGAGAGUGUUGAAGAGGUUUAACAUGGAUAAUGCAAAACUGGUAAGUACACCCUUAGCAGAUCAUUUCAUAUUGUCUACUAAUUAAUGUCCAAAAAUAGAUGAUGAAGUAAAAGACAUGUCAAAGGUUCCUAAUGCAAGUGCAGUGGGAUGCUUGAUGUAUGCUAUGGUUUGUACAAGACCAUAUUUGACACAUGUUGUUAGUGUGUUGAGUAAGUUUCUAUCAAAUCCGGGAAUGCAUUGGGAUGCAAUAAAGUGGAUCUUUAGAUACUUAAAGGGUACUACAGACUAUGGCAUCAUGUUUAGCAAACAACAAAGUAAUCCUUCAAUUAAGGGAUAUGUUGAUGCAGACUAUGCAAGAGACUUGGAUGAUAGGAGGUCUACCACAGGUUAUGUAUUCACCCUUGGUGGAGGACCUAUUUGUUGGAAGCCUAUGAUACAUUCUCUAAUUGCACUAUCUACUACCGAGUCAGAAUAUAUGGCAAUAGUUGAGGCUGCAAAGGAAUCAUUAUGGCUUAUAGGUUUGGUCAAGGAGUUGGGUAUUCAACAAGGUGGAGGUCAAUUAUAUUGUGACAAUCUGAGUGCCAUUUAUUUGGCAAAGAACCAGGUGUAUCAUGCAAGGACCAAACAUAUAGAUGUGAGGUUUCAUAAGAUCAGGGAAUUGGUUUCUUUUGGUGAAUUGUUACUUGAGAAGGUUCACACCUCUGAGAAUGCAGCAAACAUGUUGACAAAGCCUGUUACCACAGAAAAGUUCAAGCAUUGCUUGAACUUGAUUAAUGUCUCCAGAUGUUAGAUAGGAGAUUCCCUAACCUAUUGUCUCAGGUAGAGUUACUAGUUAUGUUUCUUGUUUCCUAAGGGGGGUGAUUAUUUGCCAAGAUGGAGAUUGUUGUAGUAUGUGGCUCAUAUUGAAUGAAAGACAUAUGGAGAAAAAUAGGCAAAUGUCGGAGCGACGACAUUUUCCAUUCAAGCUUGUAUUUUUAUUGUUGUGGGCGAACGAUAGGUUAGGGGGGGGGGGGGGGGGAAAAAAAAAAAAAAAAAAAAAAGGGGGGCAAAUCCCCCCGGGGGAUGGGGGAGGGGGAUUUUUUGGAAUUUUUUUUUUUGGGGGGUAGAAAAAAACCCCUUUUUUAAAACCCUAAUUUUUAAAAAAAGGGAAAGUUUUUUUCCCGUUUCCCGGGGGGGGGGGGAAGGGGUGGAACCCCGUAAAACCGGGGGGUUUUUUUUUUUUUUUUUCCCAUUUUUCCCCCAAAAUCUUUGCUAAAAAUCCCCCAUAUUUUUUUUUAAAAAAAAAAAAAAAAAAAAAUUUUUUGUUUUUAAUUAAAAAAGAAAAAAAUUUUAAAAAAAAUUUUUAUUUUUUGUUUUUUUUUUGGGGGGGGGAAAAAAAAANNNNNNNNNNNNNNNNNNNNNNNNNNNNNNNNNNNNNNNNNNNNNNNNNNNNNNNNNNNNNNNNNNNNNNNNNNNNNNNNNNNNNNNNNNNNNNNNNNNNCAUAUUGAAUGAAAGACAUAUGGAGAAAAAUAGGCAAAUUUUGGAGGGAGGACAUUUUCCAUUCAAGCUUGUUUUUUUAUUGUUGUGGGCGAACGAUAGGUUAGGGGGGGGGGGGGGGGGAGAGAGAGAGAGAGAGAGAGAGGGGGGGCAAUGCCCCCUGUGGUAUGGUGUAGGGGUAUUUUUGGAAUUUCAUUACUUGAGGGUUAGUAUAAAUACCCUUUUUAUAUAACCUUAAUUUUAGAUAUAGUGAAAGUCUUCUUCCCUGUUCCCGUGGACGUAGGCAAUGUGUUGAAUCACGUUAAAUCUGUGUGUUUUUCUUUUCGUUUUCUCUAAUUUUCACCAUAAAUCAUUGCAUAAAACUCAACAAUAUUAGUUAUGAAAGAAAAAAAAAAAAAAAACUUGUAAGUAUCAAAUGAAACAAGAAAAAUAGUUAAAGAAAAGUUUUAAUUAUUGAUAUUAGUUAUGGUAGGGAAAAAAAUAACCUAUAAAGUAUCAAAUUAAACAACAAAAAUAGAUAAUUUAAAAAAAAAAUUAUUAAAAAUUAAAAAAAAAUUCAAACAAUAUUUCAAAAGAUUUUUUUAAAAAAAAAAUAGAAAGAAGUAUGAUUAUAAAUUUUUAAGAAUUUAACAUUUUUUUUUUAACAAAACUUAAAAAAAAAAAUCAAUAAUUUUUUUGUUAGAAAUUAUUAAUAUAUUUAGUUACUAUAUUAGAAUUAUAUAUUUAGUUAGUAUAUGUUUAUUUAUUUAGUUACCAUAUCUCUUAUUUAAUUAAUUAUUAUAUUGGAAUUAUUAUUAUUUUUAGAAGUAAUGGUGCAUUAGUUUUUAUUUCCUUUUAUUAGGUCUAUUUAAAUUCUAAUGGUAUUAUACCUAUUUUUAAAAGAAUUUAUGAUAAGAAAUUUUAAAUUUUCUUUUCUGUCUUUUACUCUUUGAGUCCCUUUUGGAUUUCAAUAUUUCUAAUAAAUUUUAAGUAUUUUUUAAAAAUAAUUAAAUUGAUAAAACUUUUAUUUAAAAUUUAUUUCUAACAAUAUAAUAUAGAGGCAGCACCAUUAUUAUCAAUUGUAAAUUUGUUGCGUCAAGAUUAAACCUAAAAGCUUAGGUAUUUUAAAAAUAUUAAAGUCAACCAAAACAACCUGCCACUAAAAAAAAUUCUAAAAUUUUGGGAUAAUGAAUAACACACAAUUAAAAUAAAAUCAUGAAAAUAAAAGAAUAUAUAUAUAUAUAUAUAUAUAAAUAAAAUCAUGAAAAUAAAAGAAUAUAUAUAUAUAUAUAUAUAUAUAUAUAUUUCUUCUUUCACUAAUUCAAUCUAGUAAAUAAUUUAAUCACCAGUAAAAUAAAAAGGAGAGAAGACAUACCUUGCUAGGGUUAAAGAAAGCUUUGAUCCUUUGGAAACUAGAGAAUUCUUUCUUGGCUGGGUGAUCUUCUCUAUCACCAAGGCUUCCUCUUGAUGGCUGAGGCCAAUAGAUCUGAUCUUGGGCGUAUAUAAGAUGUAUCCCACAACUUUUCAAUUUAAAGGAUUCGUUAUCGCCACAUCGAAAAGAGCCACCGCCCAUUGGAGUGUAAAGAGCCUUCAAGGUGUUCCACCGACUGGAUCGAAACUUACUUGGAAUGUGAAUUUGAGGGAAAUAGGUCACCCACAAUGCUGGAUCUGAUGUAGCACGACUAUCGUAGCAUAUGUAGUCAUACGAUAAACAUCGGAGAUAGUAGCCUUUACAUUCUGGAUCAAACCAUAUAUCACCAAUUUGUUUAGAUUGAUCACCAUGGGAUAGUGUCAAUAUACAUCGUGGAAAAUCGUCACAUGUGGUCUCACAUUCACCAUCAUCAAGAGGAACAUGAUGGAAGAAUAAAACAAAUCCCAACAAGUUGUUAUCUUCACGCCAAUUCAUUGGAAGCAAGCUCUACUGUUACUUCACAUCCCAUUCUCUGAUGACUUACCCACUCUGGUAUUCCACUACUUCCUGGAAUAACAAUAUUGCAUUGCUGCAGAAAAAUGUCAUGUAAAUCUCAUGCAAGAAAAAAAUAAAAAAUAAAAAAUAAUAAUUAUGCCAUGAAAAUGAUACUGAAAUUUUGAUAUAGAGGGUUCGAGGAGAGACCAGAGGAAUAGACUCGAGGAUGUUUCAGUUUCCAGACAUGGACAACCAUGUGCCUCUAUUCGUGUUAGACUUGAUGGAAGCUCUGCAAUUUCUUCAAGCAUCGGACAGUGAUUCAUGAGAAGGGUUUCGAGAUUAGAAAGUUGAGUGAUGCCAACAGGUAUGCAAUGAAUAUGGUUUUCACUUGCAUCUAAAAAUUGCAGUAAGGAUAAGCACCAUAAAUCACUGGGGAUUUCUCCUUCCAUCAUAUUGCAACCACCUAGAUCUAGACUUCUUAAGCAACAUCAUAAGCUUCUCAAGUUGUUGGGCAACUUGUGGAGCUUUGAAUAAUUACGAACAGAAAGACUUGCAAGACGUGUCAAAUUACCAAUGUUGCUGGGAAGACUCACAAGCUUCUCACAUUUGUACAAUUCCAAAUCCCAAAGACCUCUUAGAUGUUCAAUUGAUGAUGGCAGCUCUGUUAUAGCCAUUUCACGCAAAUAAAGGCAUUCUAAAUGUUCCAUAUCCUCUGUGAUCUCCCAAAAAGUUUCUAUAUUUGAACAACCAUUAAGAGAGAGGCGUUUGAGGGAUUUCAACCCACAGAUACUAUUUGGAAGACUUCUCGUUAAAUUUGGGUGAGAUGACCUAUUGAACUUUUCUGGAUCUCAAGAAACUUUUCAAAAUUUGAGCAACCACUGAGUAAAAGAGUUUCAAGGGCCUCUAAGCACCUAAUACUCUUUGGGAAUUCCUUAAUAGCGGUCUUCUCUAAAGAAAGUCUCUUUAAGCAUUUCAUGCUCCCUUGGAUCUCCGGGAAUUUUUGAAAGUUUGAGCACUCUGAGAGGUCAAGACUUAUAAGAGAUUCUAAAUAUCCAAUGCUGUCAGGGAGUUCCAUAGUACCACUCUGAGAUAAAUCAAGCUCCCUUAGAAGUCUCAUAUUGGUAAAUAUAUCUGAAAAUUUCUCAAACUUUAAACAUUUAUUAACAUAAAGAAUUUCGAGAGAUGUUAAGGACCCAAUGCUAUCUGGGAGUUCCUUAAUAGCAGUCUGAUGUAAAGAAAGUUUCUUCAAACAUUUCAUAUUCCUUCUAAUCUCUAGAAAUUUCUCAAAUUUCAAGCAAUAUGUGAGGUCAAGAGUUUCGGGAUAUUCCAAAUACCCUAUGUUGUCCGGGAGUUCUUUAAUACCACUUUCACGUAAAUUAAUCUCCCUUAAAUGUCCCAUAUAGGUAAAUAUAUCUGGAAAUUUCUCAAACUUUGAACAUCCUUUUAACCAAAGCUUCCUCAAAAACUUCAUAUUCCCAUGGAUCUCUGGAAAUUUCUCCAAGUUUGAACAAUUUGAGAGAUCAAGGACUUCAAGAGAUGCUAAAUGCAUGAUGCUACUUGGUAGUUCUCUAAUCCUAGUUUUGUUUAAAUAAAGCUCCUUCAAAUGUUUCAUAUUCCCAUGGAUCACAUCAAACUUCUCCAAGUUUUGACAAUGAUAAAGAUAAAGAACUUCAAGAGAUUCAAACUUCAUGCUAGUUGGGAAACUUUGGAGCUGUUCACAUCCUCCUAAAUUCAAGUAGGUCAAUCUUUUGAGAUGGCCAAUAGAUGAAUGAAGUUUACGCAAACUUGUACAACCUUUAAGAUUCAGUCUCUCCAAAUUCGCCAUGCUUGAGAAUUUUGGCAUUUUGACUAGGUGUUUUGAAUUACUUAGAUCAAUGCCCUUUAAUUUUCCAAGACACUGCAACAUAAGACAUUCUUUUAAUAAAACAAAAAUUCUUUUAACUUGAAAAUUAUCCUAAAGAAAAAAACAUUAAAUAAUGAUCAUACCUUAUUCCCUUUCCAAAGUUGUUUUAUGUUGCUAGACUUCAAGUUGAUUUCAAUAAGGUUCUCUCCAUAAAAUUUUGAAGGCAAAGACCUCAAAGUGCAUCCUUGCCAAUGAAGAUAUCUCAAAUUAUGAGGAAAUUCAAAAUCUUUAGGAAAAAACACUUUAUACUCCUCUCUCUUCAAACCAUCAUGAUCAUUGCAAUGGACUUUGAGCAACCUAAGUUUCUUCAUCUUGGCAAACACUUUUGUAGUGAACUGUAUUUCUUUUGAUCUAGACAAGUCGAGAGAUAUGGUUUGAAUACUUUCCAUCCCCUGGAAACAAGAAUGAAGAAUAAGGGAAUAACACAAGAUAAAAAUCCUAACUAAAAUUUUAUAGGCAAUUAAUCCUUAAAAAUGCAUUAUAAAUAUCUAAAUAACUAAGUUCAUAUAUUUAAUUCAUACCUCUUGUCUAGAAAAUGCAUCAUAAAUAUCAUCUACAUCCCACAAUCUGCUCCAUUUACUUAGGUCUCCAGGACAUUCUUCAUGAACAAUUGCCCAACCCAUUUCUUGUAUCAAGUCAUGCAUUUGUAUGAUGUUUUUUGAAAUAGUUACUAGACAUCUAUCACAAAGAACUCUUAUGUUGUAUGUUGCAAAUAAAUUGCAACCAUCUAAUAUUGUCAACAUAUAUAUAAUCUUUGUCUUCCCCUUUGAAGAAACAUGCAAUGUCAAGGAAAACCUCCUUUUCAAAAUGAUCAAGCCCAUCAAAACUUAUUCUAAGCACAUCAUUAAUUUUCUUGUUAGCAUUUUUUUUUCAAUUUAUCCAAUGCACUUUUCCAUUCAUCUAUUGCCAUGCCAUGGAGAGAAGAACCUAGAACUUUAAGGGCUAAAGGAAGACCUUGAGCAUAAUGUACCAUGCAAUUUGAGAGGUUUACAUAAUCUUCUUUGGGAACAUUUUGUUUAAAGGCAUGUCUACUGAAGAGUUGAAUAGCUUCCUUAUAAUGUAAUUGCUCAACCUUAUAUGAUAUAUCCACUCCAUACUCACCCAGCAAAUGUUGGUCUCUAGUUGUUAUGAUAAUUAUGCUUCCUAUACCAAACCAUUUAAGACUUCCAACCAAUAACUUUAAUUGCUCCAAAUGAUCCACAUCAUCAAUAACAAUAAGAACUUUUUUUGAGUCAAGUCUAGCCUUUAUUAUAUUGAUUCCUUUAUUGAUAUUGCUAAACUCUACAUCAUUCCCCAUUGUAUCAUGUAGAAGUUGUUGUUGUAGUUGAAGUUGACAACCCUUGUUGAAUGUCUCUCUGACAUCUUGAAGAAAGCUUGCACUGGUGAAUUGAUAUUGGAUCUCAUUAUAAACAAUCUUGGCAAUGGUAGUUUUACCAAUUCCACCAGGUCCAUAGAUCCCAACCACACGAAUGUCAUUCAAGUCACUACUUAACGAUUUUAGUUCUUUCAGGUGAAAAUCCAUCCCAACUAUAUCAUCGUUAAUAUGCAAAAGCUUAGAAUUCAUUGAUCUUUUAAAAAUCUGGUUAACAAUUUCCUUAAUAUGCUUUGACUCAUACCUGCCAAUUAUAAAGUACAAUUUAACACUUCAUGAGUUAUAAUGAAUUGCAAAAGAUAACAAAUAUAAAGUAAAUUUAGUGACAUUUACUUGCUUUUGUCAAUAUAAUAAAAGUAAUAGGAUGUAAAAAAUAUUAAAAGAACCCACUAUAUUGAGCAUUUUAUAGAUAAUGAAAAGGCAAGUAGUUUUGAGGCAAGUGUUAAUAAGAUCACAAAGCAAGCUUUACUAUACAAAAUUAUUAACUCGUUAAUUCAUAAUUUAAGACAACUAAAUCUUUACAACUAAUUAAAUCAAAAACACAAAUUAAGGAAGUUGAAGCUACCCAUCAUUCACAUGGAAACCACUAAGAUUGCUUGCUUCAGUCAAGGAAUCCCUCCACCUUUGCACCUUUUUCGCAUCUACAUUUCUUUCAUGAAUGGAAAAUGCCUCUCCGAAGCUCCCUGUUUGCUUUCGCACAUCACAAGGAUCCACGUGGUAGAACACCGGAAAGACUAUUUGUUCCAUUUCUUCCCUGCACUCCAUGAUCUUCGCUAACUCAUCCAAACACCACUUGGAAUGAGCAUAGUUUUUUGAGAACACAACUAUGGAAAUUCUUGAUUCUUCAAUACUUUUCAAAAGUUCUGAUUUGAUCUCCUCUGCUCCUUCAAGUUGAUCGUCUCUGAAAGUCUUAAUCCUCAUCCCAUGCAAAUUUACGAAUAAAUGAUCCGUAAAAUUGUUGCGGGUGUCUUCACCUCUAAAACUCAAGAACACUUCGAACUGAUAUUUACGGACUGAGGUAGAAGAAGAAGAGGGUUUUUGGGUAGAGGAAGCCAUCGUUGGAGUUGAGGAAGAACUUGUUCUUAGUCAAUACUUGAUAUGCCCACAGCAUGUUUGGGUCCUCAUAUGAAGCAAAACUAUUUUUCUUUUUUUUUUCUUUUUUUUUUUCUUUUUUUUUGGUGGAGUGGUUAGAUUGUAAAAAGCAAAGAUCGAUUUUCCCAAUACAUGCAAGCAGGUGAUUUGUCAGUUAAAUGUAAAGGAGUAAUGAGUGGGGAGGUCGGUGGCUUUUAAGAAGGGCCCACCCACCACAAAACCCGUAAAAGCCUUAAAUUAAAAUUUCAGUUUUCGGUAUUAUGGCCAUCGACGCUUUCCUUUGACCAGUCAAAACCUUUCAUUACAAUUGCCAUAGAUUGUAAAGUCUUUCAAUUCUAUUGCCACGGUGCAAUUUAAUAUAUAGUUUAUUCCUCCCUCCUAAAUUUUAACUUAAAUUCAAUUAAUUUUAAUUAUUUUUUUAUAUUCUAUUUAAUAUAUUAUUAAAAAUAUAAAAAUAUCAUAAUAAUCUUACCAGAGUCUUUCUUUAUUAAAAAAAAUAAACUUGGAUAUAAAAUUAUUAAUAUUUUUAAACAUAAAAAUAUAUGCAUAUAUCAUUAUUUUUUAUUUUAAAUAAAAAUCAUCAUUUUAAAUACAUACUUGAUUACUAAAAAAAAAUAAAAAUUUUAAUAAAUUAAUUAAUUUUAAUUAUCUUAUUAUUAAAUUUCAUUUAGCAUAUUAUGAAAAUGUAAAAACCAUAAUAAUAAUGAUUUACUGAAAACAAUCUUUUAUGUUUUUUGUAUAUUAAUUAUUUAUAAAUUUAUAUAUAUCAAAUUUAAAAAGUAAAUUAAAAAAUAAUCAUACAUAUAUCAUUAAUUAUUUUAUACCCUAAAAUACAUUCAAACUAAAUAGAACAUUAUUUUUAUAAUAAAUGUGGUAAGAUACUUUAUAAACUUAUUUAUGUUACUCGACGUACCCCUCUUCUUUAUUUUUAAGUUUUUAUUUUUCACUUUACAAACCAUCUAUGUUACUAAAUGUAUCCCUCUUUUUGUUUUACAAUUUUUAUAUUCUUUCAACUUUUCAAACUCAAUAUUCCUUUUAAAAAAAAAUUAAUUUUUAAAACUUUUUCUUUUAUAAAAAGUUUCUAAAACCAUAAAUUUUUUAGAUAAAUUUUAUUAUUAUAUUUUUCAUUAAAAAUGAAUAAUAACAUUGAAUUUUUUUAUAAGGAUGAAUCAUAAUAUUUCAAAAUUUCACAUAAAAUCUCAAUUACUUGAAAACGUAUGUUAAAUUAUAAGGAAUAAGUAUAAAUAAAGAGAUAAUAAUUAUUUCAAUAAAUAAUGAUAAAUUUUGCCAUAAUAAAAAAUAUAAAUUAUGCAUUUUUUUUUGUUAAAAGCCGAUCAUAUCAUCCACAAUACAAACUAAAGUGCAGGCUGUGUUGUCGGAUGAGGAACCCUUCUGGGGUCUUUUCCUUUUCGUAGAACCUUCAUAUUGCUUCCACAUUCUAUAAGGGUUCGUGUUGCAAGUAGGGAAAGGAAGGGAGAAAGAAACCUAAGAAAAGGACUUUUGAGUGCACUUUCAUGCAAAGUUCGAGGAAUCGAACAAAGAAGAGAACUCUUUAUCCAAGAAAACAUGAAUGUAAAUGGAGUAAAUAGAACGAAAACUGGAAUUAGUAUAUAAAGAUGAAGAAAGAGGUGGGUUUUCCUCACUUGAACACCGAUAACACAAGAUUGGUAGCUUGAUGCUAAUGGAAGAGGAAAAAACAAGAAUGUCGUGGUGUGGUAAUAGUGUUAUUGAGACUCCAAAAGGAAGGAUGUCAUAACUUUUGAAAUUUGAAAAGGCAUGGUAUGUGUGUCAUCGGUAGGAGGCAAAAGAAACCCCCAAAGGAGGCUUGAAGGUACAUUGGUUUGAGUGUCCAAUACAAAAAAAUUCCAAGGUCUGGAAAAUCAAGGAAAAUAUAUUCCCACUUAAAUGAAAAAGAAUUUUCCGUUUGACCUCAGCUAAGGGUCAACGAAAAAUUGAGGGCAAUUGUGGGCACCAUGGUAAAUGGGGAUAAACGGGCCUACCUAAAGAACUAUCUGCUGAUUUGGGCCAGUUUGGGCCUCGAUUAAAAGCCCAUUUAGCCUAAUUGCCCGACUUACUUAAAUAGCCCAACAAGUAAAGUGGAAAAUAAAAUGUGGGAGAACAACCCACAAGAAGUAGUGAAGGCAAUUAACGCUUGGGGCAGUAAUUGCUUGAAGUGGCUAAAAAGUGUCCCCAUGAUCUCCACACCUAUCGGUAGCUAAAAGGUAUAUGAAUACAACUGGCAAGUCUAAAAAGCAGAAAAAAAAAAAAAAAAAGGAUUGUAACAUGAGAAAUAUUACAUUUUCUAGAAAACCCUAGGUAACUUAAUAAUUGGAGGAGGUGAUUCCGGGGUAAAACUGAGUGAGCCCUGUGUGGCAAGGAUAAGGAAGCGCGCGAUAAGAAUAGGACUAUUGCUCAAGAAAUUCUCAACUCCAAUAGGCAUUACUUUACAAAAUAUUUUAAAAUGAUGAAAAUAAAAUAGGAAGUUUUAAUUUUGGUAGGUAGGAAGGAAAUAAUUGAGAAGUUUUUUUUUUUUUUUUUUUUUUAAAGUAAAAAUGAUAGCACUAGAGUCAAGAUUUUGCAAUGCCUUAAUUCUAUCAUAAAAUGAAUUUAUGUAUACUUACACAAAAUUUUCAAUAGAUGAUUACUAUAAGAAAAAAAAAUCCACCUUUUUUUAGCUUUAUUUUUAAUAUGAUUCUCAUUCUUAAAAUAAUAAAAUUUAAGUAAGUGUGUGUUUUUUUUUCUUCUGUUAUUAUCAAUUAUAAAAUUCAAAAUCUUUUCAUUUGAUUUGUUAAUGCUAUGUUUGGUUUAAGAAUUGUAAUAAAUAAAGAAAAUUAUUUUCUCAUAUUUGAUUUUAUUAUAAAAAAUAAAAAAAUAUAAUUAAAAUUAAUUAAAAACUUAUAUAUUUUUAAAUGAUUUAUUUUUAUAUAAAAGUAUUAAAUUAAAUAAAAUGAGUUUGAAGUGAUGUAUAAAAAUAAUUUAUUUCCUUUAAAUCUAUUUUUAUUUUAUAAUAGAAUCCAAAGUUUUAUAAUGCUUAAACGCGCGUAGAAAGAGAGCAAUCAAGCUUCAUGUGCUAGUAAUUUUUUUAUUUUUUUAUUUUAGUAUUUCUUGUUUGGAUUGAAACAAAAUCAACACAUCAUACAAAAUUAUAAUAAACUUUUAAUUUUCAAAUAGAUUAAGUGUAUAUUAUAUUUAUACAUAAUGCUAAAUCAUAGAUGCUUCAAAAAAUUACGUAGGAUAACUAAUUAUUUUUCUAUUAAAAAAAUAAAUGAUGUCAUUAAUUGUUGUAAACUAAUUUACAUUAUGGGAUGAUGAGUUGGUUGGUCAUUCUAUCAUCUUCAAAAUCAUCCCGGAAAAUAAAAGUAGUCCCAUAAUUAAUGAUUAAAUAAAAACAUUUUUUUUUCAUUUUUUAAAAAAAUAAAAUUUUAAUUUUAAUUUCUUCCACUCCUAUGAGGUGGCUAGUAAAGGUGGUUAAGAAACCAAAUGCUUGUACAUUUUCUGUUCUUUUCUUUUCUUUUAAUAUUACAUUUAUCAUGUUUUUAUUUUUUCAUUUAUGUAUUAAAAUUUUUAAAGGCGACUUCCUUAUUUAAUAAGAGAAGUAAGUGUCUCUCCCAAUUAGAGUUUAUAAUACCCCUUGGUUUUUUUUUUUUUAUUAUUAUUAUAGAAAGUUGAAUAAUUUAAUCAUAAAACAAGAGCAAGUGUGGAAAAUUAUAGUCCUAUAUAAAAUGUAGGAGCUCUCAUAAAUUUAUCUUGAAAAAAUAAUAAUUUUAAAAAAUCAAUUCUUAUACAAAAUUAGGUAUUAAAAAAAAAAAAUUGACUACCUCAAAUUUUAAAAAUCUUGAAAGUAAUUUUUAAAAAUAUAAAAUUUAUGGUCCAUGCAAGUUAUUGGAUUUCAUAUAUAAAUAGCUAUUAUUUUCCUUUUUUACAAAACAUGGAAUUAGUAAGCCGGAGGGCACUUAGACACAUAUACAUUAAAAUCGAGGGAAAUAUGGUAUCCUCAUUUUUUUUUUUUUUUUAUGAAAAAUUAAAGAAAAUGAAUAUGCCUAAAUAAAUGGUUUGUAUGGAUUGAGAUUAUUAUAAGAUGAAAAUGACUACACUCCAAUAUGCUAAUAUUCAUGCCAUAUUUUAGUCGUGUUAUCAUGUUACAUCAAAAUUAUCAUCCUGAUAUUUUUUUUAUAUAUAAAUUUAAUAAUAUGGUACAUAACUUUUGUAGAACAAAAAGUUUAUAAGCUAGUCUUGCUAAAUAAUUGAAGCUACUUUGGUCACUAUGCAUAUGAUCUUAAUAGAUAAAUGAGGAUAAUUUAUCAUUGUUUCAAAAUCAUUCUUGAAAAUGCUUGUAAAUAAUUUCAAAUAAAUAAAAUUAUCCAUACCUAAAAGCAUACAAAUUAAAAUCAACAAUUCAAAUUAUCCAUACUUAAAAACAUACAAAUUAAAAUUACUAAUUCACAUUAUACAUGCUUAAAAACAUAUAAAUAAAAAUCCACAAUCCAAACAAAGUGUCUCUUUUAUGGCAUUCUCAUUCUGGUUCAAUACCGCAUCUCUACCAUCCUUCCAAUUCCAUAACCAAUAGUUAGUCUAGUUUCCAUGCGCAACCUGACCAAUGGUUAGUCAUAGUUUAAUGAGCAUAUUAUGACAAUAAUUAUCCUGUGCUUUUUCAUCUUUAGAAAUGAAACAAAGAGCAAAAUAAAUAUUAAUUCAUGCUAUGUAAUUGAAAAACAUAUGAUAAUUGUUUUGGUCUACCAAUUAAAAAAUGAAGCUCUAAAUAAAAAUUUUAAUUAAUUCAAACAAAAACUCUGGCCUACCAAAACAGCUACGGUAAUAUGGUUUUUCUUUCUAAAUUCAUUAGUUCAUUCCAAAGAUAAAACUUUGAUAGGUUCUAAGAUAUUUAUUAGAAAAAAUAAAGGAGUUUUAACUUUAGAUUGGCCUAAGAAUACAGGAUCUCCAAAUUUCAUAAACACUUGGAAUAAUUAAAAAUAAAAUAAAAUAAAAUAAAAUAAAUACAUAAAAAGGAAAAAAGAAAUUUGAAUUUCCUGACCAUAUCUAAUUCUGUAUUGAACUCUAUAUUCUUCCAAGCAUGUAAUCAUUUUAAAAUAUGUCUAUAUAUUUUUUUCCAUUAAUUCUUCUAAAUAUUUUAAACCUUAUGGAGUAGAGUUGGAAACCACAGAUAUCUUCAUUUUUUUUUAGUAUGAUUUCUUUUCAUAAAAACCUUUUAUUGUAUUGUAAUGAGUAAAUAAAAAAAAUAUAGACAUAAACUGAGAAGCAUGUAAGUUACAUGUUUCAAACAAUCUUGAUAUGGCCUUAAAGGAGUGGUUGAGUUAGAUAAGUAGGGGGCAAAGUAAAUUCUUUUUUUUUUUUCAUAAAAAAAACAUGAAAUAUAAUAAACAUACAAAUUUUUUUACAUUUCAUGAAGUGCUUUAUCAUUUAACAAAAUAAGUGAUUAUUGAUAUUAGUUAUGAAAGAAAAAAUAUAUAAAAUAAAAAAUGAAACAACAAAAUAGAUAAAGAAAAGUUUUAAUUAUUGAUAUUAUUUAUGAAAGAAAAGAAGAUAUAAAGUAUGAAAUGAAACGACAAAAAUACAUAAUUUUUUAAAAUUUUGUUUAAAAAUUAACAAAAAUUCAAACAAUAUUUUCAAACGAAUUUUAAAAAAUAGCAAGAAAGGUGACCAUAAAUUUUAAAGAAUUUCACAUUUUUUUUAACAAAACUUUAAAAAAUUCAAUAAUUUUACUAAUAAAUUUUAAGAAUCAUUUUUGAAAUAAUUAAAUUGAUAAAAUUUUUAUUUAAAAUUUAUUUCUAACAAUAUAAUAUAAAUGUAGCAUCAUUAUCAAUAGUAAAUUGGCGAAACUAUGGGAUCUAAAAUUUUGGGAUAAUUAAGAACACAUGAUUAAAAUAAAAUCAUGAAAAGAAAAGAAAAAAAAAUAUAUCAGCUGGGUUAUGAUUUCAAAUGUUUUCUAGAUAUUUCAUUUUUUUGCUAAUUCCAUCUAAUAAAUAUUAUAUUCACUAGUGAAUGAAAAAAGAAGAGAGAGAACACAUACCUUGCUAGAGGUUAAAGAAACCCUUGAUCCUUUGGAAACUAGAGAAUUUUUCCUUGGAUGAGUGAUCUUCUCUAUUAGCAGGCCUUUUUCCCGACGGCUGAGGCCAAUGCUUCUGAUCUUGGGCAUAUAUGAGAUGUAUCCCACAACUUUUCAUUUUAAAGGAUGCGUUUUCGCCACAUGUAAAAGAGGCAUUAUAGACACGAUUGUAAAAGUGAGCCUUGAAGUUGUUCCACUUUCUGGAUCGAUACUUGCUUGGAAUGCCAAUCUGCGGGAAAUACGUCACCCACAGUGCUGGAUCUGAUGUGCUACCACUGUCGUAGCGUUCGCUGCUACAUGAUAUACCUUCAAUGCAGUAUCUUUUACAAUGAGGAUGAAAAUGAAUAUUAUCCAGUCGUUUAGAUUGAUCACCAUGGGAUAUCGCCAAUUCACAUUGAGGAAAAUAAGAUGUUCUCACGCAUUCAUCAUCAUCAAGGGGAACAUGAUGGAAGAAUAAAACAAAUCCUAACAAGUUAUUAUCUUCAUACCAAUUCAUUGGAAGCUCCACACUUACUUCACAUCCCAUUCUUUGAUGACUUACCCACUCUGGUAUUCCACUACUUCCUGGAAUGAUAAUAUUAAAUCUCCGCUGCAGAAAAAAAUGUCAUGUAAAUCUCAUGCUUUUUUUUUGAAAAAAAAGGGGGGUGGGGUUGGGGAAGGGCGGUUGAUAAUUAUGCCAUGAAAAUGAUACCUGAAUUGGUGAUUUCAAGUGUUUGAGCAAAGAAGACCAGAGUAGACUUGAAGAAGUUUCAGUUUCCAGGCAUGGACAACCAUGUGCCUCUAUCCAUCCUAGACUUGAUGGAAGCUCUCCAAUUACUUCAAGCAUCGGACAAUGAUUCAUGAGAAGGGUACGAAGCUUACAAAGAUGAGUGAUGCCAGUAGGUAUGCAACGCAUAUGGUUUUCACUUAUGUUUAAAAAUUCCAGUGAGGAUAGGCACCAUAAAUCACUGGGGAUUUCUUCUUCCAUCAGAUUGCAACCACCUAGAUCUAGCGACGUUAAGAUACAUUGCUGGCUUCUCAAAUUGUCAGGCAAGUUGUGGAGCUUUGGACAGUUACGAACAUGAAGACUAGUAAGACAUGUCAAAUUACCGAUGCUAUUGGGAAGAGCCACAAGGUUCUCACAAUUGAUCAAUUCCAAGGAUUUAAGACCUCUCAGAUGUUCAAUUGAUGAUGGCAGCUCUGAGAUACCCGUCUCACAUAAAAAAAGGCCUUCUAAUUGUUCCAUAUCCUCCGUGAUCUCUAAAAAAGCCUCUAGAUUUGAACAACCAUUGAGAGAGAGGCCUUUGAGGGAUUUCAACCCACAUAUACUGUUUGGAAGACUUUUCAAGUUUCUACAAUUUUCCAAAUCUAAGCGUUCAAGUCUGGUGAGAUGACCUACUGAGUAGGGUAAUCCUCUAAUAGCAGUCUCAUCUAGAAAAAGACCCCAUAGAUUCCCCAUAUUUUUUUGAAUCUCAGGAAACCUCUCAAGAUUUGAGCAACCACUGAGAUCAAGAAUUUCAAGGGCCUGCAAGCGCCCAAUGCCAUUUGGGAGUUCCUUAAUAGCAGUAUCCUCUAAACAAAGCAUCUUCAAGCAUUUCAUAUUCCCUUGGAUCUCUGGAAAUUUCUCAAAGUUUGAGCAAUAUCUGAGGUUAAGUUCUUCAAGAGAUUCCAAAUACCCAAUGCUGCCUGGGAGUUCCUUAAUACCACUCCCAUAUAGACAUAGCUCCCUUAAACGCCCCAUAUUGGUAAAUACAUCUGAAAAUUUCUCAAACUUUGAACAUUCUCUAAGAGAAAGCAUUUCAAGAGAGGUUAAGGACCCAAUGCUAUUUGGGAGUUCCUUAAUAGCAGUCUCAUCUAAAAAAAGAUUCAACAAACAUUUCAUAUUCCCUUGGAUCUCUGGGAAUUUCUCAAAUUUGGAGCAACAUGAGAGGUCAAGAAUUUCAAGAGAUUCCAAAUACCCAAUGCUGCUUGGGAGUUCUUUAAUACCACUCUCACGUAAAUGAAGCCCCCUUAAAUGUCCCAUAUAGGUAAAUGUAUCCGGAAAUUUCUCAAACUUUGAACAUCUUUCUAAAUAAAGCUCCCUCAAAAAUUUCAUAUUCCCAUGGAUCUCAGGAAAUUUCUCGAAAUUUGAACAAUCUGAGAGAUUAAGGACUUCAAGAGAUGCUAAAUACACAAUGCUACUUGGUAGUUCUUGGAUCCCACUCCUGUUGAAAUAAAGCUCCUUCAAACAUUCCAUAUUCCCAUGGAUCUCAGGAAAUUUCUUGAAAUUUGAACAAUAUGAGAGAUUAAGGACUUCAAGAGAUGCUAAAUACACAAUGCUACUUGGUAGUGCUUGGAUCCCACUCUUGUUUAAAUAAAGCUCCUUCAAACAUUCCAUAUUCCCAUGGAUCUCAGGAAACUUCUUCAAGUUUGGACAACAAUUAAGAUAAAGAACUUCAAGAGAUUCAAACUUCAUGCUGGAUAGGAAACUUCGGAGCUGUUCACAUCCUCCUAAAUUCAAGUAAGUCAAACUUUUGAGAUCGCCAAUAGAUGGAUGAAGUUCACGCAAGCUUAUACAACCUUCAAGAUUCAGUCUCUCCAAAUUCGACAUGCUUGAGAAUUUUGGCAUUUUGACCAAUUGUUUUGAGUUACUUAGAUCAAUGCCCUUUAAUUCUUCAAGACGCUAUAACAGAAGACAUUUUGUUAAUAAAAAAAAUAAAAAAUUGAAAAUUAUUAUAAAGAAAAAAAACAUUAAAUAAUGAUCAUACCCUAUUCCCUUUCCAAAGUUGUUUUACGUUGCUAGACUUCAAGUUGAUUUCAAUCAGGUGCUUUCCAUUAAAGUUCCAAGGUAAAGACGUCAAAGUGCAUCUUUGCCAAUGAAGAUAUCUCAAAUCAUGAGGAAAUUGAAAGUCUUUAGGAAGAAGCACUUUAUACUCCUCUCUCGUCAAACCAUCAUGAUCAUUGCAAUAGAUUUUAAGCAACCUAAGUUUCUUCAUCUUGGAAAACACUUUUGUAUUGAAUUGUAUUUCUCUUGAUCUAGACAAGUCCAAAGAUAUGGUUUGAAUAUUUUGCAUCUCCUGGAAAACAAUAAGGAAAAAUAAGGGAAUAACACAAGAUAAAAAUCCUAACUACAAUUAUAUAGUCAAUUAACCACUAAAAAAUUGAUUAUAAGCAUUUAAAUAACUAUAUUAAGCAUUUAAUUCAUACCUCUUGUUUAGAAAAUGCAUCAUAAAUAUCAUCUACAUCCCACAAUCUACUCCAUUUGCAGGGGUCUCCAAGACAUUCUUCACGAAUAAUUGCCCAACCCAUUUCUUGUAUCAAGUCAUGCAUUUGUAUGACGUUGUUUAAGAUAGUUACUAGACAUCUAUCACAAAGAACUCUUAUGUUGCAUGUUACAAAUAAAUUGCAACCAUCUAAUAUUCUUGACACAAAAUCUUUGCAUUCACCUUUGAAAAAACACGCAAUGUCCAGGAAAACCUCCUUUUGAGAAGGAUCAAGCCCAUCAAAACUUAUUCUAAGCGCAUCAUUAAUUUCCUUCAUAGGGUUUUUUUUCAAUUUAUCCGAUGCGCUUUUCCAUUCAUCUAUUGUCAUGCCCUGAAGAGAAGAACCUAGAACUUUAAGGGCUAAAGGGAGACCUUGAGCAUAUUGUACCAUGCAAUUUGAGAGGUCUACAUAAUCUUCUUUAGGAACAUUUUGUUUAAAGGCAUGUUGGCUGAAGAGUUGAAGAGCUUCCUCAUAAUGUAAUUCUGUAGCCUUAUGUGAUAUAGUCACUCCAUACUCAACCAACAGAUGUUGGUUUCUAGUUGUAAUGAUAAUUGUACUUCCUGGACCAAACCAUUUAGGACUUCCAGCCACUGACUCUAAUUGUUGCAACCGAUCCACAUCAUCAAUUACAAUAAGAACCUUUUUUGAGCCAAGUCUGUCCUUUAUUAUAUUGAUUCCUUUAUUGAUAUUGCUAAACUCUUCAUCAUUCCCCACUGUAUCAUGAAGAAGUUGUUGUUGUAGUUGAAGUUGACAACCCUUGUUGAAUGUCUCUCUGACAUCUUGAAGAAAGCUAGCACCAGUGAAUUGAUAUUGGAUCUCAUUAUAAACAAUCUUGGCAAUGGUAGUUUUACCAAUUCCACCAGUUCCAUAGAUCCCAACCACACGAGUGUCAUUCAAGUCACUACUUAACAAUGACUUUAGUUCUUUUAGGCGAAAAUCCAUCCCAACUAUAUCAUCGUUAAUGUGCAAAAGCUUAGAAUUCAUUGAUCUUUUAAAAAUCUGGUUAAUAAUUUCCUUAAUAUGCUUUGACUCAUACCUGC